UUCUAGUUCGCUCGGCGUCUUUAACCAUGUUUGCGUGUUUUGUGCUAUUAGCUUGACGGUGUUCUCGACUGGGCAAGAACUGCGCUUUGCGGUACUGCAAGUGCGUUCGUUUCGUGAAGGCCACUGGCCUCCAGCGAGCCUACCGCCGCGACUACCAAGCCACAUGAUGCGCACACUGCGUCCUCGGUGCAAUCCGGACAUCGAACGGAAGACUGUUCUGGCAACGCAGCAAGAGUAAUUGGCCCAGCUGUUUUUUUUUGUUUACAAGGUGGACUACGAUGGUAACUUCGUCCAGUGCCCUACGGCACACUUUGUUCAAGAUAUCAGACAUCUCGUCACAUUCGGGCAAACUCUGGUACUAACGCAGUGUGAGUGUUUGUGUUUUGAGUUGAAUUAAAGACUACAAACAACAUUCGUUUUAUCAGUUGUCAAGGUAUGACAACUGAUAAAAAAAGAGUACUUUCGCUUGUACAACACCUGAUACACAGACCUGUAAAUGUUAAGGCUCAUGUUCAACAAAACUACUUGAACAUAUGCUUCUUGGAAAGCAUUGCUCUGAAGAAAUAAACGGAAAGCAGAGAGACAGAAAGUGUUCAACAUUGAA